UAGCCGUAAACGAUACUCGCUAGGUGUCGGCCACGGUGCGACCGUUGUCGGUGCCGUAGGGAAGCCGUGAAGCGAGCCACCUGGGAAGUACGGCCGCAAGGCUGAAACUUAAAGGGAUUGGCGGGGGAGCACAACAACGGGUGGAGCUUGCGGUUUAAUUGGAUUCAACGCCGGAAAUCUUACCGGGACCGACAGCAACAUGAAGGCCAAGCUGAAGACUUUGCCGGAUUAGCUGAGAGGAGGUGCAUGGCGUAGUCGUGU
rnacentral:rRNA from 1 species